rnacentral:tRNA from 1 species
GGCUUGGUGGCAUAGUAGGUACUGCUUCUGAUUUGUACGCAGAAGGUCCUGGGUUCAAUUUCCGGCCCGUCUG